UACAGAGGUGGCAAGCGUUGUUCGGAAUUACUGGGCGUAAAGGGCGCGUAGGCGGCCUUCUAAGUCAGACGUGAAAUCCCCCGGCUUAACCUGGGAACUGCGUCUGAUACUGGAGGGCUUGAGUAUGGGAGAGGGAUGUAGAAUUCCAGGUGUAGCGGUGAAAUGCGUAGAGAUGUGGAGGAACACCGAUGGCGAAGGCAGCCUCCUGGGCCAGCACUGACGCUCAUGCACGAAAGCGUGGGGAGCAAACAGG
rnacentral:rRNA from 1 species